UGGGGAAUAUUGCACAAUGGGGGAAACCCUGAUGCAGCGACGCCGCGUGAGUGAAGAAGUAUUUCGGUAUGUAAAGCUCUAUCAGCAGGGAAGAUAAUGACGGUACCUGACUAAGAAGCCCCGGCUAACUACGUGCCAGCAGCCGCGGUAAUACGUAGGGGGCAAGCGUUAUCCGGAUUUACUGGGUGUAAAGGGUGCGUAGGUGGCAAGGCAAGUCAGAUGUGAAAGCCCGGGGCUCAACCCCGGUACUGCAUUUGAAACUGUCUAGCUAGAGUGCAGGAGAGGUAAGCGGAAUUCCUAGUGUAGCGGUGAAAUGCGUAGAUAUUAGGAGGAACACCAGUGGCGAAGGCGGCUUACUGGACUGUAACUGACACUGAGGCACGAAAGCGUGGGGAGCAAACAGG
rnacentral:rRNA from 1 species